rnacentral:tRNA from 1 species
GGAGAGUGAGGGAUGCGGCAAACCCAGCAGACUGUAAAUCUGCCGCCUCUGGCAACGCGCGGUUCGAUUCCGUGGCUCUCCA